CGGAGGGUGCAAGCGUUAUCCGGAUUUAUGGGUUUAAAGGGUCCGUAGGCGGAUCCGUAAGUCAGUGGUGAAAUCUCACAGCUUAACUGUGAAACUGCCAUUGAUACUGCGGGUCUUGAGUAAGGUAGAAGUGGCUGGAAUAAGUAGUGUAGCGGUGAAAUGCAUAGAUAUUACUUAGAACACCAAUUGCGAAGGCAGGUCACUAUGUCUUAACUGACGCUGAUGGACGAAAGCGUGGGGAGCGAACAGGAUUAGAUACCCUGGUAGUCCACGCCGUAAACGAUGCUAACUCGUUUUUGGGCUUUCGGGUUCAGAGACUAAGCGAAAGUGAUAAGUUAGCCACCUGGGGAGUGCGUUCGCAAGAAUG
rnacentral:rRNA from 1 species